rnacentral:rRNA from 1 species
AACCAGCACCUCAAAUAAUCAAAAAAAUUAUUGGGCCUAAAACAUCCGUAGCCGGCUCUGUAAGUUUUCGGUUAAAUCUAUAUGCUCAACGUAUAGGCUGCCGAAAAUACUGCACAGCUAGGGAAUGGGAGAGGUAGACGGUACCCGGUAGGAAGGGGCAAAAUCCUUUGAUCUAUCGAUGACCACCUGUGGCGAAGGCGGUCUACCAGAACAUGUUCGACGGUGAGGGAUGAAAGCUGGGGGAGCAAACCGG